rnacentral:rRNA from 1 species
CUGACGUUAGCGGCGGACGGGUGAGUAACACGUGGGUAACCUACCUAUAAGACUGGGAUAACUCCGGGAAACCGGGGCUAAUACCGGAUAAUACAUGAAACCGCAUGGUUUCAUGAUGAAAGACGGUUUUGCUGUCACUUAUAGAUGAACCCGCGGCGUAUUAGCUAGUUGGUAAGGUAACGGCUUACCAAGGCAACGAUACGUAGCCGACCUGAGAGGGUGAUCGGCCACACUGGAACUGAGACACGGUCCAGACUCCUACGGGAGGCAGCAGUA